rnacentral:rRNA from 1 species
GACGAACGCUGGCGGCAUGCCUAAGACAUGCAAGUCGAACGAGACGACCUUUGGAAGACUGAGUACUUGUACGAAGUUAGAAGAAGAUCAUCGUCUAGUGGCAGACGGGUGAGUAACACGUGGGUAACCUACCUUCAAGCUGGGGAUAACGUUUGGAAACGAACGCUAAUACCGAAUAAGAUAUAGCAAUAUAUUGAAAGAAGCCUUUAAAGCUUCACUUAAAGAUGGGCCUGCGGCGUAUUAACUAGUUGGUGAGGUAAUGGCUCACCAAGGUAACGAUGCGUAGCCGAACUGAGAGGUUGGCCGGCCACAUUGGGACUGAGACACGGCCCAGACUCCUACGGGAGCAGCAGUGGGGAAUAUUGGGCAAUGGCGCAAGCCUGACCCAGCAACG